UAGGCAGUUGGGUGUGUCAAAGCCAGACUGGAAGGAUCAGGCUCUGGGGCUCAACCAGGUUUCUUUUGAUGAAUCAACCAUGCCAGUUCCAAUAUGUUCCUGCACCGGAAUUUUAAGGCCUUGCUACAAAUGGGGAAAUGGAGGUUGGCAAUCUUCAUGUUGUACAAACAAUUUGUCAAUGUAUCCAUUACCAGCGCUUCCUAACAAGCGACAUGCUAGAAUUGGUGGUCGGAAAAUGAGUGGGAGUGCAUUCACCAAGCUGCUUAGCCGCCUGGCUGCUGAAGGCCACGA
rnacentral:lncRNA from 1 species